UCUUGUCUCCAGAGUACUUAGCAGAGAUGCUUUGUGUGCCUUCGGGAACUCUGAGACAGGUGCUGCAUGGCUGUCGUCAGCUCGUGUUGUGAAAUGUUGGGUUAAGUCCCGCAACGAGCGCAACCCUUAUCCUUUGUUGCCAGCGAUUAGGCCGGGAACUCAAAGGAGACUGCCAGUGAUAAACUGGAGGAAGGUGGGGAUGACGUCAAGUCAUCAUGGCCCUUACGAGUAGGGCUACACACGUGCUACAAUGGCAUAUACAAAGAGAAGCGACCUCGCGAGAGCAAGCGGACCUCAUAAAGUAUGUCGUAGUCCGGAUUGGAGUCUGCAACUCGACUCCAUGAAGUCGGAAUCGCUAGUAAUCGUAGAUCAGAAUGCUACGGUGAAUACGUUCCCGGGCUUGGUACACACCG
rnacentral:rRNA from 1 species